rnacentral:rRNA from 1 species
CCUAGAGGGGGACAACAGUUGGAAACGACUGCUAAUACCGCAUACGAUCCAAUCUCGGCAUCGAGGAUGGAUGAAAGGUGGCCUCGUAUUUAUAAGCUAUCACUGAAGGAGGGGAUUGCGUCUGAUUGGCUAGUUGGAGGGGUAACGGCCCACCAAGGCGAUGAUCAGUAGCCGGUCUGAGAGGAUGAACGGCCACAUUGGGACUGAGACACGGCCCAG